rnacentral:lncRNA from 1 species
CGGAUGGUCUCUGAGCUUGCGAUCACGAGCGCCACUUGGGUACAACCCGGAGGAGCUCGUUUCCUUAUGCCUUGCAGUGCGUUUAUGCCAGAGUACGGGGA